rnacentral:misc_RNA from 1 species
GAAAUGCGAUAAGUAAUGUGAAUUGCAGAAUUCAGUGAAUCAUCGAAUCUUUGAACGCACAUUGCGCUCGCCAGUAUUCUGGCGAGCAUGCCUGUUCGAGCGUCAUUUCAACCAUCAAGCUCUGCUUGCGUUGGGGAUCCGCGGCUACCCGCGGUCCCUCAAAAACAGUGGCGGGCUCGCUAGUCACACCGAGCGUAGUAACUCUACAUCGCUAUGGUCGUGCGGCGGGUUCUUGCCGUAAAACCCCCAAUUUCUAAGGUUGACCUCGGAUCAGGUAGGAAUACCCGCUGAACUUAAGC